AUUGAACGCUGGCGGCAGGCCUAACACAUGCAAGUCGAACGAGUGGCGGACGGGUGAGUAAUGUCUGGGAAACUGCCUGAUGGAGGGGGAUAACUACUGGAAACGGUAGCUAAUACUGCAUACCAUCAGAUGUGCCCAGAUGGGUUUAGCUAGUUGGGGGGGUAACGGCUAAGCAAGGCGACGAUCCCUAGCUGGUCUGAGAGGAAUAACAGCCACACUGGAACUGAGACACGGUCCAGACUCCUACGGGAGGCAGCAGUGGGGAAUAUUGCACAAUGGACGCAAGCCUGAUGCAGCAAUGCCGCGUGUAUGAAGAAGGCUUUCGGGUUGUAAAGUACUUUCAGCGGGGAGGCGGUACCCGCAGAAGAAGCACCGGCUAACUCCGUGCCAGCAGCCGCGGUAAUUC
rnacentral:rRNA from 1 species